AACGCGAAGAACCUUACCUACUUUUGAAUCCACGAAAUCUGACAGAGAUGUCGGAGUGCCUUCGGGAAUCGUGAGACAGGUGCUGCAUGGCUGUCGUCAGCUCGUGUCGUGAGAUGUUGGGUUAAGUCCCGUAACGAGCGCAACCCUUAUCCUUAGUUACCAGCGAGUAAAGUCGGGGACUUUAAGGAGACUGCCGGUGAUAAACCGGAGGAAGGUGGGGAUGACGUCAAGUCCUCAUGGCCCUUACAAGUAGGGCUACACACGUGCUACAAUGGCCGGUACAAAGGGUAGCGAACCCGCGAGGGGGAGCCAAUCUCAAAAAGCCGGUCGUAGUCCGGAUUGGAGUCUGCAACUCGACUCCAUGAAGUUGGAAUCGCUAGUAAUCGUGGAUCAGCACGCCACGGUGAAUACGUUCCCGGGCCUUGUACACACCGAGUAUA
rnacentral:rRNA from 1 species